AUACCUUAAUACAUGUACAUAAUUUCCAAGCAGUGUAAUGGAAGUAAUCAAACAUAUAUAUAACAGUAUUCUUUAAAUUUUAAUUGGACUACCUCCCUUACACUACUUUUAAAUUGUCUAAAUUGUCCUUUAACCAGAAAAACCUAGUUUUCCCCCUUUUUUGCUCCUAAUUUCUAAUUUAUUUGAGUCAUAACCCCCAAAGUUAAUUUUCACAAUCCCUUUGUGGUAUGGAAACUUUUGGUAUAAUUUCAAAGAGAAUUAUACACUUAAACUUAUUUAUAUUUAAACUUAUUGCCUAGAAAAUACAAAAAUGCUUAUUUGGGCCCUUUUUUUUGGGCCCCAAUUCAUAAACUGUUAGGACCAUAACCCCCAAAAGUAAUCCUAACCUUCCUUUAAAGGUAUUAAACCUUCUGGUAAACAUUUAUAGAGAUCCAUUUACCUAAACUAAAGUUAUUGUCCAUAAACAAAAUGCGUCUUCGGACGACAACGCUGACAACGCAGACGAGGACAACAUGAUAAAAAAUUUUUGCGGUCGCAUAAAAAUCAGUAGCAAUAACCUUAGCUUAAAUGAUUGAUACAAGGCACAACAAUAAACAUCACCAUCAAAAUUUGGAACAAGAGCAGGGGUUUCAUUAUCUUUCAUGUUGACUGGUACUUACCAUGUUUCUAGGUGGUACUUUUCAAUUUAUUCCAUGAAUAUCUUAUAUAAAAAUUCCUGCAUUUAGGCGGUACUUGUCAAUAGCAUAGGAGGGUAAAAGUACCAUGUACCGCCUCCUAAUGAAUGGCCUGCUGAAGAGUGCAAAUGCUGAAAUGUCUCGCCUUCUUUACUAACCAUUGAUUUUUAUGUUAAUAGUUCUAAAUAUAAAGCUUUACUAUGAGUAUCAUAGAAACUUAACAUAAUGCAAGAAAAUGAGAUCAGGUCAGAUUAACCAAACGAGAAAUACAUGUUCACAUUCAAAUCAUUCAAAACACUAAAUAUAGUUGACCUAUUGCUUAUAGUUUCUAGAUACAGACUUAACCAAGAAAACCACCUAUGAACCAUGAAAAUGAGGUCAAGAUCAGAUGAAUCAUGCCAGACAGACUGUUGAGACAUAUACGCUUUACAACAAAUAUAGUUGAUCUAUUGCUUAUAGUUGAAAAAAACACACAAAAACACAAAAACUGAAUACUGAGCAAUGAACUGUGAAAAUGAGGUCCAGGUCAAAUAAAACCAGUUAGACUGACAUGAACAUCAUAAAAUAUUUCCAAACACCAAAUAUGGUUGCAUACAGUAUUAGAAAAAAAGACCAAAACUUAAAAACUUAACAUUGACAACUGAACCAUGAAAAUGAGGUCAAGGUCAGGGUCAGAUGACACCUGCUAGUUGGACAUAUACACACCUUACAAUCAU
rnacentral:lncRNA from 1 species